rnacentral:lncRNA from 1 species
CAUGAGUCAGCUGACCUUGGACUGAACUUCUUUUCCUCCUCUACAUUGUUCUUGUCAGGUCCUUUGAUCACAGUGAUGAAAAAAACAGACUAAAGCAAAUGCAUUCCUUAAAUUUAGGGGUUUUGAACUAAUUAUACAUCUUGGUCAAUUUGGCUGAUAUUUUUUUCAGGUCCAAGGAUUGAAUACAGGGUCUUAUGUGUGCUAGGAAAGUGUUCUGCCAUUGAACUAAAUCUCCAACCCUUAAUUUGGUUCUUUUUGAAUUACGCUUUUGCCUCUGACCUAAAAUCAUAGUGGAAACUUUAACCUCAGUUGUGGCAAGAAGGAUGGAAAAUAGGCCUUAAGGCUAAGAUAGCCCACAUCUAGACAACCCCAGUGUCUCCAGUGCUCACCCAGAAGUAGCCCAGGCCAGCUGGCUUGUGCCAGGAGGGCAAGGUCAGUGGUCUUCUGUGGGGAGAAGGUGGCUCCUGUCUGAUUUAGCUGGCUGCUAUUAGGGAUUGGACUGAUUUUCCCCAGAAAUAGCCAAAAGCAAAAUAGAAGGAAGAAAAGAAAGUCUCUGGUAAGAACCCGUACACCCCAGAAGAUAUCCCCACCAAUUAAGAAACAGAACUAAGGUUGGGGGUCACUCCUUCCUGCCCUCCUUCUUUUCAUGCAUACCCUCACUCCUGCCCCCCAGAACAAUCCAACAUGUGAAGUCUUUCCUGCUCACUCUGGCACACUUUGCCACUCUCCAGGACAAACAUAUGCUUGGCAGUAUCAGGUGAAAGACAAGCAAUGGAGUGUUCUCGAGAUGAGACUCAGAAGGCACUUGCUGUCCACCCUUGCUGUCCCACAAGCCCUUAUGCAGAUGAGUGCCAAGAGCAGAUGUGUCCUGAGGAGAACAGGCCCUUACCCAAACAGAUAAUAGAAGGAUACAGGGCGGAUAUUGAGUCUAACCAUAUGAAAUUGCCAGUUACCUAGGCAGACAAAUAGUUGGAAACAUAGAUAUGAUUAAUGAAUAAAAAGAAUUAUGUAUAGCAAGGUAGAUACAAAGGCAGAAGUAGC